UACGAAGGGGGCUAGCGUUGUUCGGAAUUACUGGGCGUAAAGGGCGCGUAGGCGGUCCUGAUCGUCGGAUGUGAAAGGCCUGGGCUCAACCUGGGAAUGGCAUCCGAUACGGCGGGACUGGAGUGUGGGAGAGGUUGGUGGAAUUCCCAGUGUAGAGGUGAAAUUCGUAGAUAUUGGGAAGAACACCGGGUGGCGAAGGCGGCGCUCUGGACCGAGACUGACGCUGAGGCACGAAAGCGUGGGGAGCAAACAGG
rnacentral:rRNA from 1 species